rnacentral:rRNA from 1 species
ACCAAGGGUUGCCUCACCUAAAAUCAAAUCAAAUAAAAUUUUCCAUCUGAUCUUGGAAGCUAAGCAGGGUCAGGCCUGCUUAGGACUUGGAUGGGAGACCGCCUAGGAAGACCAGGUGCUGUAGGCG